GUAGGUGAACCUGCGGAAGGAUCAUUAAAAAGAACCCCUCCUACACAAUAUUGGAGGUCACGCGAUCCGGUUAAAGAACCCACGUCGCAUCGGGAACUAUUGUACAGUGGCAGGUUUCGGGGAGCAAUUCCCUGACUGUUUGUGCGGCGCACAUGAUGCGUUCGUCUUGCAGCGGCCUGCCCCUCCUCAAACGGUUCAAACCAAUUUUACCUGCCUGAAAUUCUUUGCGAACAAACGCAACACAAAUUAA
rnacentral:misc_RNA from 1 species